CUAAUUCUAUUAAAAUAUACAAUAAAUAGUUAUUUUACUCUAAAAGAUUCAAUAAACUUUCAACAAAAGCCAAAAUGAGUUUCUUAAUAUUUAUUAUGAUAAACUGCAAACUAAUUUCAUAAAAAACUAAAAUUGAACUCCUUACAGGUAGAGAUUGCCCUCAAAGCUGUUCGCAAAGUAAGCAUUGAUGUAUGGUGUUUAAUAUAGGCUU
rnacentral:lncRNA from 1 species